rnacentral:rRNA from 1 species
GACGAACGCUGGCGGCGUGCUUAACACAUGCAAGUCGAACGGAAAGGCCCUGCUUUUGUGGGGUGCUCGAGUGGCGAACGGGUGAGUAACACGUGAGUAACCUGCCCUUGACUUUGGGAUAACUUCAGGAAACUGGGGCUAAUACCGGAUAGGAGCUCCUGCUGCAUGGUGGGGGUUGGAAAGUUUCGGCGGUUGGGGAUGGGCUCGCGGCUUAUCAGCUUGUUGGUGGGGUAGUGGCUUACCAAGGCUUUGACGGGUAGCCGGCCUGAGAGGGUGACCGGCCACAUUGGGACUGAGAUACGGCCCAGACUCCUACGGGAGGCAGCAGUGGGGAAUAUUGCACAAUGGGCGGAAGCCUGAUGCAGCAACGCCGCGUGCGGGAUGACGGCCUUCGGGUUGUAAACCGCUUUCGCCUGAGACGAAGCGUGAGUGGCGGUAAUGGGUAAAGAAGCACCGGCUAACUACGUG